rnacentral:rRNA from 1 species
CCUACGGGUGGCAGCAGUGGGGAAUAUUGCACAAUGGGGGAAACCCUGAUGCAGCGACGCCGCGUGAGUGAAUAAGUAUCUCGGUAUGUAAAGCUCUAUCAGCAGGGAAGAAAAUGUCGGUACCUGACUAAGAAGCGCCGGUUAACUACGUGCCAGCAGCCGCGGUAAUACGUAGGGGGCAAGCGUUAUCCGGAGUUACUGGGGGUAAAGGGAGCGUAGACGGGGCUGCAAGUCCGGAGUGAAAGCCCAUGGCUUAACCCUGGUACUGCUGUGGAAACUGUGGAGCUUGAGUGCGGGAGGGGUAGGCGGAAUUCGUAGUGUAGCGGUGAAAUGCGUAGAUAUUAGGCGGAACACCGGCGGCGAAGGCGGCAUGCCGGCCCGCAACUGACGUUGAGGCACGAAAGCGUGGGGAGCGAACAGGAUUAGAUACCCUGGUAGUC